rnacentral:rRNA from 1 species
AUUGAACGCUGGCGGCAGGCCUAACACAUGCAAGUCGAACGGUAACAGGAAACAGCUUGCUGUUUCGCUGACGAGUGGCGGACGGGUGAGUAAUGUCUGGGAAACUGCCUGAUGGAGGGGGAUAACUACUGGAAACGGUAGCUAAUACCGCAUAACGUCGCAAGACCAAAGAGGGGGACCCUCGGGCCUCUUGCCAUCGGAUGUGCCCAGAUGGGAUUAGCUUGUUGGUGGGGUAACGGCUCACCAAGGCGACGAUCCCUAGCUGGUCUGAGAGGAUGACCAGCCACACUGGAACUGAGACACGGUCCAGACUCCUACGGGAGGCAGCAGUGGGGAAUAUUGCACAAUGGGCGCAAGCCUGAUGCAGCCAUGCCGCGUGUAUGAAGAAGGCCUUCGGGUUGUAAAGUACUUUCAGCGGGGAGGAAGGGAGUAAAGUUAAUACCUUUGCUCAUUGACGUUACUCGCAGAAGAAGCACCGGCUAACUCCGUG